AUACGAAGGGAGCUAGCGUUGUUCGGAAUUACUGGGCGUAAAGCGUGCGUAGGCGGUUAUUCAAGUCAGAGGUGAAAGCCUGGAGCUCAACUCCAGAACUGCCUUUGAAACUAGAUAACUAGAAUCUUGGAGAGGUGAGUGGAAUUCCGAGUGUAGAGGUGAAAUUCGUAGAUAUUCGGAAGAACACCAGUGGCGAAGGCGACUCACUGGACAAGUAUUGACGCUGAGGUACGAAAGCGUGGGGAGCAAACAGGAUUAGAUACCCUGGUAGUCCACGCCGUAAACGAUGAUAACUAGCUGUCCGGGCUCUCAGAGCUUGGGUGGCGCAGCUAACGCAUUAAGUUAUCCGCCUGGGGAGUACGGUCGCAAGAUUAAA
rnacentral:rRNA from 1 species